rnacentral:lncRNA from 1 species
GGUGAUCACAGUGGUAUAAAAUUUGCAUCGAACGGAGGCCGGGAAGGGCCUCAUCGGAGGCAAAAAUCGAGGAGGGGCGCGGCGGCGCCGCUGGGUUUCGGCUGAGUUUUUCGGCCGUUCGGCCGGUGGUUUGGCUCCGGUUUGGUCAUAGGCGGACUCAGUGUCGAAAAACGAGCAAGGGGGAGAAAAAUUACCUCAAUCGGCGGUCAGAAAUUU